rnacentral:rRNA from 1 species
GUAGUCCACGCCGUAAACGAUGAAUGCUAGCUGUUAUAGGUAUCGACCCCUGUAGUAGCGAAGCUAACGCGUUAAGCAUUCCGCCUGUGGAGUACGGUCGCAAGACUAAAACAUAAAGGAAUUGACGGGGACCCGCACAAGCGGUGGAGCGUGUUGUUUAAUUCGAUGGUAAACGAAGAACCUUACCCAGGUUUGACAUCCUUGGAAUUUUGUCGAAAGACGAGAGUGCUUUAUUGAACCAAGUGACAGGUGUUGCAUGGCCGUCGUCAGCUCGUGUCGUGAGAUGUUUGGUUAAGUCCAUCAACGAGCGCAACCCUUAUUGUCUGUUGUAUUUUUCAGGCAAGACUGCCCCGGUAACGGGGA